ACGUGAGCAACCUACCCUCAGCACGGGGAUAACAGCUCGAAAGGGGCUGCUAAUACCCGAUGGGGACCACGUCAUUUGCAUGGGUGAUGUGGGUGAAAGGGGUGGGACGUAAGGGUCCAUACCGGGCUGGGGGAUGGGGCUCGCGGGCCCAUCAGCUAGUUGGGGGGGGUAAACGGCCUACCAAGGCGACGACGGGGUAGCCGGCCUGAGAGGGUGACCGGGCCACAGUGGGGACUGAGACACGGCCCCCACCUCCUACGGGAAAGGCAGCCAGGCGGGGGAAUCUCUUGGCGCAAUUGGGCGAAAAGCCCUGAACGCCAGGCGAACGCCCGCUGUAGAGGGAUAAGGGGGCCCUUUCCGGGGUGUUUAAAACCUUCCUUUUGGACCGGGGAAGGAAAGUAAGGAAGAUUAGGUACCCGCCUUUAAAAAAGGCCACCGGCUUAAACUUACCGUGGCCAGGCAGGCCGCCGGGUUAUAUACGUAGGGUGGGCGAAGCGGUUGGUCCCGGAAAUUACCUGGGGCCGUAAAAGGGGUUGCGUAGGGCGGGCCUGGUAAAGUUUGAGGCGUGAAAAUUUUUUGGGGCUUCAAACCCCAAAAAGGAGCGUUUCAAAGACUGCCCAGGGCUUGAGUGCGGGGAGGAGGACGGGCGGAAAUUUCCCGGGUGUAGCGGGUGAAAAUGCGUAGAUAUUCGGGAGGAACCACCCAGUGGCGAAAGGGCGGCUCGUACUGGACUCGUAACUGGCGCUGAGGCCACGAAAGCGUGGGGAAGCUAACCAGGAUUAGAUACCCCUGGUAGUCCCACGCUGUAAAACGGAUGGAUGCUAGGUGUGGGGGGGGAGAAGUACUCUUCCGUGCCGUAGUUAACACAAUAAGCAUCCCGCCUGGGGGAGUACGGCCGCAAGGUUGAAAACUCAAAAGGGAAUUGACGGGGGCCCGCACAAGCGGUGGAGCAUGUGGUUUAAUUUCGAAGCAACGCGAAGAACCCUUACCAGGGCUUGACAUGCCGGGGACCUGCCCGAAAGGGUGGGGUGCCCUGACCGAUGAGGUUAGGAACCCCGGACACAGGUGGUGCAUGGUUGUCGUCAGCUCGUGUCGUGAGAUGUUGGGUUAAGUCCCGCAACGAGCGCCAACCCCUCUGCCCCUUAGUUGCCCAGCGGGCAGAGCUCGGGCCACUUCUAAGGGGACUGCCCGCCGAUGAGGCGGGAGGAAAGGUGGGGGGAUGACGUCAAAUUCAUCCAUGCCCCUCUUAUGCCCCUGGGCUACAACACGUGCUACCAAUGGG
rnacentral:rRNA from 1 species